AUGGUGAAUUAUUUAGCAUUGCUAUGUAAUACUGAAUGGACCUUUCCUUCUUCACCUCCCACCACUUCAAUUUGUUUUAGUCUGAAAUUCAGCAGCCCACCAACUUCUGCAGCAAAGUUGUGGCUCAAAGUUCCUACCCUGUGCUUUUAUUUCCUAGUGGUAAUUAUUUCCCACUGACUCAGAUGGAAGGACAGCGUGGAUGCCUGACAGACACAGAACAUCAGACUUCUCACCCUGAAAAAUACUGUACAAAGUGCAUAAUGGAAAACUUGAGCUGUGUGGAAACAAAGAUACAACUAGUUGACUUUGUUACAUAAAUCACAUGAUCCAGCCAUAAGAAUCCUUCCUUUCAAAGGCUUGCAUGCUACUUUUGAUGCUUGCUCUGGUUAGAAGACCUUCUCCCACUUCUACCCCUCCCACUUUAUAAUAAGUAACCUUUCAUCUUUUUUAGUUUUGUGUCUUUCCCCUCAUGUACUUUCUUAAACUUUAACUUCUCUUCUUCAUUAAAUACUAUCAAACCUAAUGAGUUUUGAUUAUUUAACAAAUGAAACAGUAGCAAAGAAGCAUACUCGUAUCAAACUUUUCUUAAUAUAUACUAUUCCUAGCAUUGUGCAGCAUCACUUUACUUGAAAACUUUGAGACCUG
rnacentral:lncRNA from 1 species